CCACCUUAUUGCUCUCUCCACCUUGUACUAUAUUCAUGACAAAACCUUACUUGAACCAUGAUCUAGACAUCGAUCUUUACUUGCUUCCAACCACUCUGGUAGUUGCACAAACAUUAAAGUUGGAUGAGAGUUUUUAUAAAAAUAUUGUAAAAUGAGAAUUGAGCCAUUUCCCUUGCUGAAUACCCAUCUUUUCAAUUUUAGGCAAAUGACAAUUUCA
rnacentral:lncRNA from 1 species